rnacentral:rRNA from 1 species
GACAGAGGGUGCAGACGUUGUUCGGAAUUACUGGGCGUAAAGCGCGUGUAGGCGGCUCUGUAAGUCGGGCGUGAAAUCCCACGGCUCAACCGUGGAAGUGCACCCGAAACUGCGUAGCUAGAGUCCUGGAGAGGAAGGUGGAAUGCUUGGUGUAGAGGUGAAAUUCGUAGAUAUCAAGGAGGAACACCGUGAGGUAGGAG